AAUGAUCGUUGGAACGAUGCCACCCUUCGGGUGCCUGCCCACCCUGUGCCAGCUCCCGGCAGACAGCUGCCAUUUCCUGAUCUCCCCACAAGUGUCAGGCGUAGGGGUUGUCCCCGCAUCACAAAUGAGGAAACUGAGGUUCAGACAGCCUUAGAAGCAUGUCAAGAAAUCUCAUCGAGGGGCGCCUGGGUGGCUCAGUCGGCUGGGCAUCCGACUUCGGCUCAGGUCGUGAUCUCACAGCUAGUAUGUUCGAGCCCCGCGUCGGGCUCUGGGCUGACAGCUCGGAGCCUGGAGGCUGCUUCGGAUUCUUUGUCUCUCCCUCUCUCUGCCCCUCCCCUGAUUGUGUUCUGUCUCUCUCUCUCUCUCAAAAAUAAACAUUUACAAAAAAUUCUUUUAAUAAAAAAAUUUACAAAACAGAAAGCUCAUCUGGCAGUGCAAAAGGACAUUAAAUCCCAGGCCUGGACCUGUUCCCGCAGCCCUGCUCCAGGAGUAGGUGGCCCCUGUAGCCCGGACACACGGGAAUAUGCCAGACGGUCUUUGCUCCCUUCUCUGAGAGUCAAUCAGGAAAAGACAGCUUGUCUCAGGCCUAGCCUGGGCCUCAGUCAGUGUACACCCGGUGUGUUCAUUUGUCCCUGGGUCUGUGUUCGCGUCAACGGGCUCCUGAGUCUCUCUCAAGCGUUAUCUGUGCCUUCCGUUUUCCUCAGAUUCUCAACAACUCGGGGAAGGACUGAACUGUACGUUUCUUGUUUCUGGUUCCACAGCUCCAGGCUCUGUGCUCCAGGCUCUGUACCCAGGGAACACUCGAUGAGUGUUAUUGACUGGCUGACUCAGGCCCCGUCUGCCCACAAGAGCCAUUUUGAGCAGCUUCGACUGAAAUACGGAUGGAGUCAGUUAAAGUCAAAUAAGCAGUCUGGUCGAUUUUCUUCUUCCUCCCCACCCCCGUCCCCAGUGCCGCCGGGAGACUGUGGGUUCCCUCCUUCACGGAGGAGGACAAGAGCCGGCGAAGCACCCCGCUUCCCCGAGAAAGGUCAGCUCAGGUCACAAUCUCGCGUGAGUUCGAGCCCCGCGUCGGGCUCUGGGCCGAUGGCUCAGAGCCUGGAGCCUGUUUCCGAUUCUGUGUCUCCCUCUCUCUCUGCCCCUCCCCCGUUCAUGCUCUGUCUCUCUCUGUCUCAAAAAUAA
rnacentral:lncRNA from 1 species